GGGCCCGCACAAGCGGUGGAGCAUGUGGUUUAAUUCGAUGCAACGCGAAGAACCUUACCAGGGUUUGACAUCCUGCGAAUUUCUGGGAAACCGGAAAGUGCCUUCGGGAGCGCAGUGACAGGUGGUGCAUGGCUGUCGUCAGCUCGUGUCGUGAGAUGUUGGGUUAAGUCCCCGCAACGAGCGCAACCCACGUCUUUAGUUGCCAGCAUUUAGUUGGGCACUCUAGAGAGACCGCCGGUGAUAAACCGGAGGAAGGUGUGGAUGACGUCAAGUCAUCAUGCCCCUUACGGUUGGGCUACACACGUGCUACAAUGGUAGUGACAAUGGGUUAAAUCCCAAAAAGCUAUCUCAGUUCGGAUUGUCGUCUGCAACUCGACGGCAUGAAGUCGGAAUCGCUAGUAAUCG
rnacentral:rRNA from 1 species